GGGGGCCAAAGCUUUUUUUUGGGAAAUUAAUUGGGGGGUAAAAGCGCCCCCCCGGGCGGUUUUGUCAAAAUUCGGAAUUUGAAAUUCCCCGGGGUUCAACCCUGGGGAACUGCCAUUCCGAAACGGGCCGGGCUUUGAAUCUUUGUAGAAGGGGGGUAGAAAUUCCCAGGGGGUAGCGGGUGAAAAUGCGUAGAGAUCUGGAGGAAUAACCGGUGGCGAAGGCGGCCCCCCCGGACAAAAGACUGACGCUCAGGUGCGAAAAGCGUGGGGAGCAAACACGAUUAGAUACCCCUGGUAGUCCACGCCGUAAACGAUGUCGAUUUGGAGGUUGUGCCCCUGAGGGCGUGGCUUCCGGAGCUAACGCGUUAAAUCGACCGCCUGGGGAGUACGGCCGCAAGGUUAAAACUCAAAUGAAUUGACGGGGGCCCGCACAAGCGGUGGAGCAUGUGGUUUAAUUCGAUGCAACGCGAAGAACCUUACCUGGUCUUGACAUUCACAGAACUUUCCAGAGAUGGAUUGGUGCCUUUUGGAACUGUGAGACAGGUGCCGCAUGGCUGUCCUCAACUCGUGUUGUGAAAAGUUAGGUUAAGUUCCGCAACGAGGGCAAACCUUAUCCUUUGGUUGCAAGGGUUUGGCCCGGGAAUCAAAAGGAAGGAUUCCAGCCAUAAAUAAGCCGGAGGAAGGGGUGGAGGCCGUCAAGUCAUCACGGUCCGUACGAGCAGGGCUACACACGUCCUACAAUGGCACAUACAAAGAGAAGCGACCUCGCGAGAGCAAGCGGACCUCAUAAAGUAUGUCGUAGUCCGGAUUGGAGUCUGCAACUCGACUCCAUGAAGUCGGAAUCGGUAGUAAUCGUAGAUCAGAAUGCUACGGUGAAUACGUUCCCGGGCCUUGUACACACCGCCCGUCACUCCAUGCGAGUGGGCUGUAGAAGAAGUACGUGGCUUCAAUAAGUGGUAACAAGGUAGCCCAUUGGAAGGUUUCCUGCCCCC
rnacentral:rRNA from 1 species